ACCCAUGUCGGAUUCUCCAAAAUACACUACUUUUGGAGAAUCCGACACGCACCC
rnacentral:pre_miRNA from 1 species